UUGAUCUUCAUCAGACUCCAGUAUAAUGAGGCCCUCAUCUAGUAGAUGGAACGUUUACUUGUCACUAGCGCUACAACAGUCCUCUUGCUUUUUGCUUUCCUCGUGCCUUCCAGCCGUCACUGAGCUCCUCUCGCUCCCCGUCCGACCCCCCUCAUGGUCUCCGACGCUGCUAAUAAAGGAACAGGGAACGCAUGGACCACGGCCCUUCCACAUGCCUCCACCGUCAGACUCAGGCCGGGCAGUCGUCCGGCGGCGGCGACUCCCUCCCCUCCCCCCUGCCCCCCUCCCAUAGCAGGGCGAGAGAGGAAGUCGGCCACGGCCAUCUGUGUGCCCGGCCUGUGGACCACCCGGAAGUUGUAGGGCUGCAACGCAAUGUACCACCAGGUGAUCCACGCGUUGGCGUCCUUCAUGCGGUGGAGCCAUUGGAGCGGUUUGUGGUCCGAGCAGAGACUGAAGGCGCGCCCCAACAGGUAGUAGCGGAGGGCCCCGACCGCCCACCGGAUGGCGAGGCAAUCCCUCUCCACCGUGCUGUACCUCGCCUCCCGGUC